UACGUAGGGAGCAAGCGUUGUUCGGAUUUACUGGGCGUAAAGGGCGCGUAGGCGGCAAAUUAAGUCAGCUGUGAAAUCUCCGAGCUUAACUCGGAACGGUCAGCUGAUACUGAUCUGCUAGAGUGCGGAAGGGGCAAUCGAAAUUCCUGGUGUAGCGGUGAAAUGCGCAGAUAUCAGGAGGAACACCGAUGGCGAAGGCAGGUCUCUGGGCCACUACUGACGCUGAGAAGCGAAAGCAUGGGGAGCGAACAGG
rnacentral:rRNA from 1 species